GUGACUCGCCUCAAUCUGGGUGGCGGAGGAUGAAUCCCAGUUGCCUCUGCUUCUGAGGCCAUCAAUCUGUGCAUCUUAUCAUGCGGUUUGUUGAGCGCAUUACCAUGGAGAUCUAACAUGUAUGGAGGCUUCAGGCUAUUCACUGCGGUAUCCAUGCACAACUCACCACGCACCCCACUGAGAGCAAGAACCACAUUAUAGCGACCACGAGGAGGUUAACCCAACGUGACUCUACCCACCCUAGCAACCAGGCCAAUUGGUUGCUUAGGAAGCCUGACUGGAGUCAAUCAGCACACCCUGAAUUCAAACUUGCAACUCCAGCCUUGAAAGUCUUGAUCCCCAUUGACUGCAUUAUAUGGGAGAAGAAAAAAAACAGCUCAGACAUUCUUCAAAACAUCUUCAUCUGUGUUCCAGAAGAAAAAAUGUCAUACAAGUUUGGAAUGGCAUGAGGAUGGACGUUCAAAAGCAUCCAAAACUUCCACAUAAAAAUGAGCGAUGAACAUUUUCUAAAGUCACCCUCCUCUUUCUUGAGCUGUGGAGAUGCCAUAUGACUGAGCAGAACACAUGAGCCAAGAACAUUCAGCCUCAUCAUGCAGGUCAGAUAGGGCAACAGAGAGAGAAAGGAGGAGUGCCUUUUCACUUUUCCAGAUUUUCAUGCAGUCACACAUGAUCAGAAGUUCGGAAACCAAACAUCUUUCUAUAUUUCCUGAGGGUCUGUCUAUGUGUGAAGGAGAGAGACUUUGUGUGAGAUUUUAGACUAGUAUGAGUAUCCUGCCUUGUUUUCCGCUCAUGGGUUUCCUGUUUGUGUGCAUGUU